AAAAAAGGUAAGCUACUAAGAGCGAAUGGUGGAUGCCUUGACUGGUAAAGGCGAUGAAGGACGUACUAGACUGCGAUAAGCUACGGGGAGCUGUCAAGAAGCUUUGAUCCGUAGAUUUCCGAAUGGGGCAACCCAAUGUAUAGAGAUAUACAUUACCUAUAUAGGAGCGAACGAGGGGAAUUGAAACAUCUUAGUACCCUCAGGAAAAGAAAUCAAUAGAGAUUGCGUCAGUAGCGGCGAGCGAAAGCGCAAGAGGGCAAACCCAGUGCUUGCACUGGGGGUUGUAGGACUGCAAUGUGCAAGAGGUGAGUUUAGCAGAACAUUCUGGAAAGUAUAGCCAUAGAGGGUGAUAGUCCCGUAUGCGAAAAACAAACCUUAGCUAGCAGUAUCCUGAGUAGGGCGGGACACGAGAAAUCCUGUCUGAAGCUGGGUCGACCACGAUCCAACCCUAAAUACUAAUACCAGAUCGAUAGUGCACAAGUACCGUGAGGGAAAGGUGAAAAGAACUGAGGUGAUCAGAGUGAAAUAGAACCUGAAACCAUUUGCUUACAAUCAUUCAGAGCACUAUGUAGCAAUACAGUGUGAUGGACUGCCUUUUGCAUAAUGAGCCUGCGAGUUGUGGUGUCUGGCAAGGUUAAGCAAACGCGAAGCCGUAGCGAAAGCGAGUCUGAAUAGGGCGCUUAGUCAGAUGCUGCAGACCCGAAACGAAGUGAUCUAUCCAUGAGCAAGUUGAAGCUAGUGUAAGAACUAGUGGAGGACUGAACCCAUAGGCGUUGAAAAGCCCCGGGAUGACUUGUGGAUAGGGGUGAAAGGCCAAUCAAACUUCGUGAUAGCUGGUUCUCUCCGAAAUAUAUUUAGGUAUAGCGUUGUGUCGUAAUAUAAGGGGGUAGAGCACUGAAUGGGCUAGGGCAUACACCAAUGUACCAAACCCUAUCAAACUCCGAAUACCUUAUAUGUAAUCACAGCAGUCAGGCGGCGAGUGAUAAAAUCCGUCGUCAAGAGGGAAACAACCCAGACUACCAGCUAAGGUCCCUAAAUCUUACUUAAGUGGAAAACGAUGUGAAGUUACUUAAACAACCAGGAGGUUGGCUUAGAAGCAGCCAUCCUUUAAAGAAAGCGUAAUAGCUCACUGGUCUAGUGAUUUUGCGCGGAAAAUAUAACGGGGCUAAAGUAAGUACCGAAGCUGUAGACUUGACUUUGUCAAGUGGUAGGAGAGCGUUCUAUUUGCGUCGAAGGUAUACCGGUAAGGAGUGCUGGAGCGAAUAGAAGUGAGCAUGCAGGCAUGAGUAGCGAUAAUUAAUGUGAGAAUCAUUAACGCCGUAAACCCAAGGUUUCCUACGCGAUGCUCGUCAUCGUAGGGUUAGUCGGGUCCUAAGUCGAGUCCGAAAGGGGUAGACGAUGGCAAAUUGGUUAAUAUUCCAAUACCAACAUUAGUGUGCGAUGGAAGGACGCUUAGGGCUAAGGGGGCUAGCGGAUGGAAGUGCUAGUCUAAGGUCGUAGGUGCUUAUACAGGCAAAUCCGUAUAAGAAUACACCGAGAACUGAAAGGCUUUUUGAAGUCUUCGGAUGGAUAGAAGAACCCCUGAUGCCGUCGAGCCAAGAAAAGUUUCUAAGUUUAGCUAAUGUUGCCCGUACCGUAAACCGACACAGGUGGGUGGGAUGAGUAUUCUAAGGCGCGUGGAAGAACUCUCUUUAAGGAACUCUGCAAAAUAGCACCGUAUCUUCGGUAUAAGGUGUGGUUCGCUUCGUAUUAGGAUUUACUCCGAAAGCGAAGAAACUUACAACAAAGAGUCCCUCCCGACUGUUUACCAAAAACACAGCACUCUGCUAACUCGUAAGAGGAUGUAUAGGGUGUGACGCCUGCCCGGUGCUCGAAGGUUAAUUGAUGGGGUUAGCAUUAGCGAAGCUCUUGAUCGAAGCCCGAGUAAACGGCGGCCGUAACUAUAACGGUCCUAAGGUAGCGAAAUUCCUUGUCGGUUAAAUACCGACCUGCAUGAAUGGCGUAACGAGAUGGGAGCUGUCUCAAAGAGGGAUCCAGUGAAAUUGUAGUGGAGGUGAAAAUUCCUCCUACCCGCGGCAAGACGGAAAGACCCCGUGGACCUUUACUACAGCUUGACACUGCUACUUGGAUAAGAAUGUGCAGGAUAGGUGGGAGGCUUUGAGUAUAUGACGCCAGUUGUAUAUGAGCCAUUGUUGAGAUACCACUCUUUCUUAUUUGGGUAGCUAACCAGCUUGAGUUAUCCUCAAGUGGGACAAUGUCUGGUGGGUAGUUUGACUGGGGCGGUCGCCUCCCAAAUAAUAACGGAGGCUUACAAAGGUUGGCUCAGAACGGUUGGAAAUCGUUCGUAGAGUAUAAAGGUAUAAGCCAGCUUAACUGCAAGACAUACAAGUCAAGCAGAGACGAAAGUCGGUCUUAGUGAUCCGGUGGUUCUGUGUGGAAGGGCCAUCGCUCAAAGGAUAAAAGGUACCCCGGGGAUAACAGGCUGAUCUCCCCCAAGAGCUCACAUCGACGGGGAGGUUUGGCACCUCGAUGUCGGCUCAUCGCAUCCUGGGGCUGGAGCAGGUCCCAAGGGUAUGGCUGUUCGCCAUUUAAAGCGGUACGCGAGCUGGGUUCAGAACGUCGUGAGACAGUUCGGUCCCUAUCUGCCGUGGGCGUAAGAAGAUUGAAGAGAUUUGACCCUAGUACGAGAGGACCGGGUUGAACAAACCACUGGUGUAGCUGUUGUUCUGCCAAGAGCAUCGCAGCGUAGCUAAGUUUGGAAAGGAUAAACGCUGAAAGCAUCUAAGCGUGAAGCCAACUCUAAGAUGAAUCUUCUCUAAGCUCUCUAGAAGACUACUAGUUUGAUAGGCUGGGUGUGUAAUGGAUGAAAGUCUUUUAGCUGACCAGUACUAAUAGAGCGUUUGGCUUAUCUUUAAUAAAGCAU
rnacentral:rRNA from 2 species